GGUGAAGGAACUAGGCAAAAUAGCACCGUAACUUCGGGAGAAGGUGCGCUGGCGUAGUGUGAAGUCUGAACGGAUGGAGCAUGAACCAGUCGAAGUGACCCGCUGGCUGCAACUGUUUAAUAAAAACACAGCACUCUGCAAACACGUAAGUGGACGUAUAGGGUGUGACGCCUGCCCGGUGCUGGAAGGUUAAUUGAUGGUGUUAUUGAAAGAGAAGCACUUGAUCGAAGCCCCAGUAAACGGCGGCCGUAACUAUAACGGUCCUAAGGUAGCGAAAUUCCUUGUCGGGUAAGUUCCGACCUGCACGAAUGGCGUAAUGAUGGCCAGGCUGUCUCCACCCGAGACUCAGUGAAAUUGAAAUCGCCGUGAAGAUGCGGUGUACCCGCGGCUAGACGGAAAGACCCCGUGAACCUUUACUAUAGCUUGACACUGAACCUUGAAUUUUAAUGUGUAGGAUAGGUGGGAGACUGAGAGAUUGUAACGCCAGUUAUGAUGGAGUCGAUGUUGAAAUACCACCCUUUAACGUUUGAUGUUCUAACGAGGUACCUGGAACGGGUAUUCGGACAGUGUCUGGUGGGUAGUUUGACUGGGGCGGUCUCCUCCCAAAGAGUAACGGAGGAGCACGAAGGUUUGCUAAUCACGGUCGGACAUCGUGAGGUUAGUGCAAUGGUAGAAGCAAGCUUAACUGCGAGACGGACAAGUCGAGCAGGUACGAAAGUAGGUCAUAGUGAUCCGGUGGUUCUGAAUGGAAGGGCCAUCGCUCAACGGAUAAAAGGUACUCCGGGGAUAACAGGCUGAUACCGCCCAAGAGUUCAUAUCGACGGCGGUGUUUGGCACCUCGAUGUCGGCUCAUCACAUCCUGGGGCUGAAGUAGGUCCCAAGGGUAUGGCUGUUCGCCAUUUAAAGUGGUACGCGAGCUGGGUUUAGAACGUCGUGAGACAGUUCGGUCCCUAUCUGCCGUGGGCGUUGGAGGAUUGAGGGGGGCUGCUCCUAGUACGAGAGGACCGGAGUGGACGCACCGCUGGUGUUCCAGUUGUUUCGCCAGAAGCAUUGCUGGGUAGCUAAGUGCGGAAGAGAUAAGUGCUGAAAGCAUCUAAGCACGAAACUUGCCCCGAGAUGAGUUCUCCCUAACGAGAAGUUAGUAAGGGUUGUUUAAGACGAAGACGUAGAUAGGUGGGGUGUGUAAGCGGUGUGAGCCGUUGAGCUAACCCAUACUAAUUGCCCGAG
rnacentral:rRNA from 1 species